CUGACCCAGCAACGCGCGUGAAGAUGAAGCUUUUCGAGUGUAAACUUCAUAGAAUGGGAAGAUAGAAAAGGAUAAUACCCUUUUCGAUGACGGUACCAUUUGUAAGCUCCGGCUAACUCCGUGCCAGCAGCCGCGGUAAUACGGGGGGAGCAAGCGUUGUUCGGAUUUACUGGGCGUAAAGGGCGCGUAGGCGGCGCGACAAGUCACUUGUGAAAUCUCUGAGCUCAACUCAGAACGGUCAAGUGAUACUGUCGUGCUAGAGUGCGGAAGGGGCAACUGGAAUUCUUGGUGUAGCGGUGAAAUGCGUAGAUAUCAAGAGGAACACCUGCGGCGAAGGCGGGUUGCUGGGCCGACACUGACGCUGAGGCGCGAAAGCUAGGGGAGCGAACGGGAUUAGAUACCCCGGUAGUCCUAGCCUUAAACGAUGAAUGCUUGGUGUCCGGGGUUAGAUAGUCCUCGGGUGCCGUCGCUAACGCUUUAAGCAUUCCGCCUGGGGAGUACGGUCGCAAGACUGAAACUCAAAGGAAUUGACGGGGACCCGCACAAGCGGUGGAGCAUGUGGUUUAAUUCGACGCAACGCGAAGAACCUUACCUAGUCUAGAAUGCUCCUGACAGCCCUAGAGAUAGGGUUUCUUGGGUAAAACCAAGCAGGAUGCAAGGUGCUGCAUGGCUGUCGUCAGCUCGCGUCGUGAGAUGUUGGGUUAAGUCCCGCAACGAGCGCAACCCUUAUCAACAGUUGCCAGCGGUUCGGCCGGGAACUCUGUUGAGACUGCCGUUGAUAAAACGGAGGAAGGUGGGGAUGACGUCAAGUCCUCAUGGCCUUUAUGACUAGGGCUACACACGUGCUACAAUGGCAGGUACAAAACGCUGCAAACUCGCAAGAGUGAGCCAAUCGUAAAAAGCCUGUCUCAGUUCGGAUUGGAGUCUGCAACUCGACUCCAUGAAGUUGGAAUCGCUAGUAAUCGCAGAUCAGCACGCCGCGGUGAAUACGUUCCCGGG
rnacentral:rRNA from 1 species